UACGGGGGGUGCGAGCGUUGUCCGGAAUCACUGGGCGUAAAGGGCGCGUAGGUGGCCUGAUAAGGGUGUGGUGAAAGUCCGGGGCUUAACCCCGGAUCUGCCGUGCCGACUGUUAGGCUAGAGUGCUGUAGGGGCAGGCGGAAUUCCGGGUGUAGCGGUGGAAUGCGUAGAGAUCCGGAGGAAGACCGGUGGCGAAGGCGGCUCACUGGCCCGGUACUGACGCUGAGGUGCGAAAGCGUGGGGAGCAAACAGG
rnacentral:rRNA from 1 species